UACGUAGGGGGCUAGCGUUGUCCGGAAUCAUUGGGCGUAAAGCGCGCGUAGGCGGCCAGAUAAGUCCGGUGUGAAAGUCACAGGCUCAACCUGUGAAUGCCGCUGGAAACUGUCUGGCUAGAGUCCGGAAGGGGCGAGUGGAAUUCCUGGUGUAGCGGUGAAAUGCGUAGAUAUCGGAAGGAACAUCAGUGGCGAAAGCGGCUUCCUGGACCAGUACCGACGUUCAGGCACGAAAGCGUGGGGAGCAAACAGG
rnacentral:rRNA from 1 species